rnacentral:lncRNA from 1 species
AAAAAUCUAAAGUAAGAAUUUUUUUUGUUAAAUCAAUAAUGAAAGUGAAAUAGUGAAAUAAUAAUUCGCUUUUAGUAGCCAAAAUAGUUCAAUUUUAUCAAAUUAAGCGGAGAAACAUUGAUAUUUGCUAAUUCACUUGCAAGUGAAUCUGUCGACCUCAUUAAAUCCGUAUUCAUGUGAACUUCAGUUUAACCCCUAGCUAGAGAUUGACAACGCAUGCAUUGUACGUGUACUGGUUAUUUUUAAAGAAAAAUAAUGUCAACAAUGAAAGUGAAACUACGGUAACCCAUUUGAUUACUUAUUCGAUCCAUAUAAAAUCAUUCUAAUACGGUUAAAAACAAUGAGAAACAUAUAUGUUUAAUCUAUAAAAUAAAAUCAAACAGACCUAUAAAAAUCUAAUUGCAGGUGUUGGUUUAAUCUAUUCAUAUCUUUAUUAUGUUUACAUCGCUUAUAUGGUCAUUUGAGGUCAAAUCGAUAGUUAAUUAGAUGGCGUCUGGACUAAAAUUCACACGAAACGAACCUACAUAUUCUCUACCCCAUGCUCUGUAAACUGUUUCUUUUGGACUUUUGGUAGUUUGGAUAAAUGUUUUACAUUGUUAUAAAUCAAAUAUGAGAAUUUGAAACAAAUCUGUGACCAUGAUUUUGACAGCCAGUGCCCCUUUAA